rnacentral:lncRNA from 1 species
UCAGCCUUUCCAUCACAAGGAUAGAAGGAAACACUUAAAAGAAUAAGGACAAGAAGUGGGUUUAUACUUCAGCUUUAGAGGAGCAGGUUGCACUGCAACAGUUGCACACUUCAAUGGGAGCACCUACAGCCACUUCUCAAAAUGAGACAGUACAAGUAUAUAUAUAUGGAUAGGAGUGCAUUACUUCAGCUGUCCUACUGAAAGUUUUACAUCUGAUUAUUUGAUUAUGAAAGUAAACUCUCCCACAUAGAAGAGAAUGCUAGCAAUCUUGUUCUG